AUUACAACAAUGGGUCAUUCUCCAGUACCCCUCUUUUUUUUAGGGGGUACGGUAUCCACCUGAAUUUUAGCCAUUAGAUUUAUUUGUUUUAAUCUUAGCUGUUUGUAUCAUUUUAAAAGAAUAUCAGUUAUCGGUUAGUCAGGUUAACAUAUAAAACCAAAAAUAGAAAGAAAAAAAAAAGGUUCUUCUUCUCUCUCGCAUCGCAUUUGAUCUGAAGCAAGUUCUUCUCUUUCGCCGUCUCUAAUGUUCUUGGGUAAAUCACUGAAUCUAUUUGUUGGCAUCCUGUUUGGAUCUUUGGAUUUGGAUUUGAGGGGCCAAAUCCAAAUCCUUUGUUUGGAUAUCUUAAAAAGAGAUGGAUUUGGAUUUGAUCCAAAUCCAUCCAGGAUUUGAGGCAUCCAAAUGCCUUGAUUUCAAAACCUUUCAUGUUCUUCUUCAAGGAAACGCUCUCUUCUACAUUCUGAAACUGAAGUCGCCAUUGUUCCUAGGGUUUGCCUCUCUCAAUUCAUCUUGUCCUCUUAAACGUCUCUAUUUGUCUCUUCCAUCAAUUGAAAAUCUGAAUCACAAAAUAUUGAUAGGAUUGUCUAGGUUUAUCCAUGCCUCUGUGGGUUCCGUUUGAUUUGUUUGUGGGUUUUGUUUGAUUUACUUCUUAUUUUUUGUGGGCUUGUAUCUACUGGUAAGGAUGGGAACUGGGUUGGUUUAGUUUUGUUAAGAAAUUGUUGAAAUGCAAAGUGUUUGAUGAAAUGCUUCUAUGAGCUGGAAUUUCUAGGAGAUACUUGUAUGAGUCAGCGAUACAAAUUUUAAAAGUUGUAGCUAUAAAAAUAUUAAAAAUACAGACUUUAUCAUGUUUUUUUUUUUCUUUUAUUAGACCAAGAAAUUAUCAAAAUCUUAAAUUUUGUUAUCAAUAGUUAAUUUAAUGUCCAAGUUACAUAUUCAAAGCAUCAAUAUAACCAUUCCAUUCAAACUGCAUUAUAAAUUUUUCAAACUGAAUUUAUGCGAAGUAAAUGAUGUAGUCCAGAUUGCCACCCCUUUCUCUGACUAUAAUUUGUAUCCAUCUAGAUGCUCCAUAGUCAUAAUUUAUCAUAUUCUUAGUUGUUUAUAAUCUUCAUGAUGAUAAUGUAAAGGUGGUACACCAUUGUGAUUGAAUCUUAAUCUUGACUGAAGGCAGACAUCAGGUAAUUUUGUUACUAGCCUAGUCACAAACUCGCAAUGAGGGAUAUUCAGAAUAAGCUUGUCACAAUUAACUGAAAGCCAAAACACGCAAAUACUAAAAUAACAAGGAGAACUUACCACUACAAAAUAUAGAUAGUUUUCCCAUUAAGGUUGAAAGUGGUACUAAAUUUCUGUUUUUUUUUUUUUUUUUUUUUUUUUUUUUUUUUUUUUUCAAUGCUUUUGCUUUUGUGUGUGUGUGUGUGUGUGUGUGUUGGUUGGUUUUUGUAUCAAAUUUUACAGGCUCCAGGUAUGCUAGGUUGUAGGCUUGGACCUUGGUUAGCUUCAAACUCCUUUGGUUUGUCGUAGAACACUGUAGAGUCAUACAGGCAAGAGACAAAAAUGAGAUGGAAGAGAUAUGUCCACUCAAUGAAAACGUAGUAGAGAGGAGAUGGAAGUAUAUGAGGAAGAGGUAAUGAGGUGAAUUAAGCUUCUCCUAAUGCACACCAACCAUGUCAACAUUCAGUAUAAACAAGUUAUGUAGCUGAGCCUCGUCAAAAAAAAAAAAAAAUAGAGUAGGAAAGAUUCAUGUCAACAUUCCCUAAUGUGCAGAGUUCAAGUUCCCAACCAUCAAACCAGGUUCAUUUCUUGUCAUAUUAGCAUCCGCUAUAUUACCAUUGGCAAGCACCUUUCCUCAAUCCACAAACGGAGGUAUGGUAGAAAAGAUUUAGUCCCAUUAUGAUUAUUUUAAUUUAUAUCCUAAAGUCACUUGCUUUGUUUCUCUUUUGACAUAGUGUUUGCAAAGUUCUCAAGAUAAUACUAAAUUACUAAUGUUGGUUAUUCAUUAGUACCUGGCCUAAUUAUAGGUCCAAAACAAUUUUCCAUGCCGAAACAAUCAUCAAGCUUUUGUAUGAGCAACAAAUCCAACCAAUUGUUUUUUCUUUUAGGUUUGCAUUAUUAGUUGACUUUGUCCAUAUUCACAUUACUUGGAAAUUUUUUAAUCUUUUUUUCCUUUGCUUUAUCAAUUUACAGGAGCUAAAUUUGGUAAUGGAGAGCUUCCUUCAAACCAAAUCUCAGUGCAUUAUAAGUUUCUAUAGCUUCUGAGCAACUAUUUGAGCUAAUCGGCUACAACUAUAAUCUUUAUUUGUAAAAUUACCAAGUAGUUGAUGAGAAAAUUGUUGCAGAAAUAUUGAAUGUAAUUUUUAAGUAUUGAUAGCAUCGCAUUUUGGCAGACUUUGAAAUCUAAAAUUAUUUUGAAAUGUAGUCAUAGCUUGCGGCUA